AGCAGCAGAGAAAUGUGUCAGAAAGACAGGUUAUCCUCAAAAACACAUGCAAUGUGUCAGUCUCAUUUCAGCAGUGUUCUGUGUCAUUUAUAAUUUUUUUCCUGUCACGUUAACUGGUAACAGCCCUAUUUGCUAAAGGUGUAUGAUAGGAAAAAUUACAAAUUAGAAGAAACAGCACAUUCUAAACAACUUGAUUGAUGAAAAUUGUGAUGGACUGUUCCCUCUGUAGCUACAAAAAUAAAAGUAGUACACAAACAGAGGUUCUAGCCCAAUCCAGCUCUCCACUGGUAGGAAUGAAGAGAGAACUGAAACUGUAGUGUAUCAUCUCUCUUCCCCUCUGUAAUAUGGGAUAUUAAUCCUUUUUUCCUUCAGAGAGUUAUUUAGCUUUUGUAAAGUCCUUUAGCACUCCUAAUGAAGGAUUUCCUGUGCAGUUUAAAUCCCUCUUUGUGCAGAUACUCCUGACCACACCGAGAAUGUUUCUCUGCAGAAUCAGGUUCAGUGAUUUGCAUUAGGAACUGAUGAAUGUGAAGCUGAGAUUGUCCCCAGGAAUCUGGAAGAGAAAAUGAAAUUACUUCAGCGAAAAGUGAACCAGCGUGGUGGUUUUUAUAUCCCUAAGUUAGCACUGAAGAAAAGAGGAAAAUGUAGGAAGUAAUUUCACAGUGAAGCAUCAGUAUGCUGGAAGGAUUGAAGGCAUGUGAUCCUUGGCCAGAACCUCCACCCCUCUUGCACCUGUAUGGCACUGCUGAUGGCAUGAAGAUGGAACAUCAAUGGAGUCAGACACAGGUAUCCAUCUGCCUCAGCAAGAGGGCACCAACAAAUUGGAAUGGGACAGAGAAGAAAGCUGCUCCCUGGUGAUGGAAGCAAGAAGAGCUGUGUCUAACCCAUGGCUUGAACACUAGGCAAUGGUAUGUGCCUGGGGUCUCUUGGGCUGGGCCUGCUCCCAAGCCCUGGCUGUGUUAGUAAGGAGAUGGACUGUGAAUUCUGCUGUAGACAGACACAUUUAUCUUUUCUUCCUUAUGUAUGGGACAGUGCAUGAACUGAGCAUUACUUUAGGAUUGCUGGGCUCAAGCCAGCAUAGACAGCAUCCUGCUGGUGGGAGUUUUGCUUCCUGUGAAAAGCAAGGCUAGUGUGAACAGAUUAGCUUCUGCUGCAGGAGAGGCAUCUGUCAGGGGUGUACCAUGAGCAGGUCACCUUUUUCUGCCAUUAGCAGGAGAUGUGAAUUUGCUCUUCUAGGGGCAACCUUUGGCUGCUGGGGUGCUGGAGCAGGACUGAAAGUGGUGCUUCACCGGGGGCAGGCCUGAUAUGGCACACUAAAACUUUUAACAUGAUACAGGAUGUACUGUUAUUAUAUAUCCUCGUUGUAUAUAUCAUUAUGUGGAGAAGCUAAUGUAAGACCACUGAUCAGUUUUUCUGAUUAAGUUUUUUUUUUUUCCUAAUAAUUUUAACAAUUUGUAAAUAAUUUCUGACUUUAUGAACUGCUUGUAUUUUUUGUACUGUACAUUCCAAUUUGAUCAUUGUUAAUUAGUGUCAUGCCUCUGUUUUACAGCAGGCAGAAUUACUUCUCUUACUAAGGGCCCUUUGUUGCUAUUGAAUUCCUAUUCUAGUCAUCGAGCAUGAAAGUUCCUUUUUCUUCCCUCACUGCAUUUCUUCACUACCUUUGACUUAUCUGGAGUGGUUGACUCGCAAAAGUUUCUCUUUUGUAAACAAGCAGAUUAAAGGGAAGGGUGUUGGAUUAAAUAUGACAGACUCCAGUCUGAUCCUAUGAAAGUCAAUGGCAAAUCUUCCAUAAGCCACAGGGAAAACAAAGCCAGGAAGGGCUCUCCAGGUGCAAUAUUAGUGUGAUUUUAAAGGAAAGUGGUAUGUAUCAUCUCCUCUCUUGUUUGCAGCUGCCUUUUUUGGAGUGCAGCAUUUCUAGUGAGUUAGCAAAAUGCAGCUUUUGUACAAGGAAUUCAUGAAUGCUUUAUUACAAAUGAAAACAGUGUAAAAACACAUGCUAUUGGGCUGCAUUUGAACUUCCUUGAGAAAAAAGUAAAAAUAAAAGCUCUUUAGUACCAGCUAUCUAA